rnacentral:rRNA from 1 species
UACAGAGGGGGCAAGCGUUGUUCGGAAUUACUGGGCGUAAAGGGCGCGUAGGCGGCCUGCUAAGUCGAACGUGAAAUCCCUGGGCUCAACCCAGGAACUGCGUCCGAUACUGGUUGGCUUGAAUCCGGGAGAGGGAUGUGGAAUUCCAGGUGUAGCGGUGAAAUGCGUAGAUAUCAGGAAGAACACCGAUGGCGAAAGCAGCUCUCUGGGACGGUACUGACGCUGAGACGCGAAAGCGUGGGGAGCGAACAGG